rnacentral:rRNA from 1 species
GUGCCGUGAGGUGUCGGCUUAAGUGCCAUAACGAGCGCAACCCUCAUCAUUAGUUACCAUCAGGUGAAGCUGGGGACUCUAAUGAGACUGCCAUCGUAAGAUGCGAGGAAGGUGGGGAUGACGUCAAAUCAGCACGGCCCUUACGUCCGGGGCGACACACGUGUUACAAUGGGUGGUACAAAGGGCAGCUACAUGGCGACAUGAUGCUAAUCUCCAAAACCACUCUCAGUUCGGAUCGGAGUCUGCAACUCGACUCCGUGAAGCUGGAUUCGCUAGUAAUCGCGCAUCAGCCACGGCGCGGUGAAUACGUUCCCGGGCCUU